GAUGAACGCUGGCGGUGUGCCUAAUACAUGCAAGUCGAGCGAACAGACGAGGAGCUCACUCCUCUGACGUUAGCGGCGGACGGGUGAGUAACACGUGGAUAACCUACCUAUAAGACUGGGAUAACUUCGGGAAACCGGAGCUAAUACCGGAUAACAUGUUGAACCGCAUGGUUCAACAGUGAAAGACGGUCUUGCUGUCACUUAUAGAUGGAUCCGCGUCGCAUUAGCUAGUUGGUAAGGUAACGGCUUACCAAGGCAACGAUGCGUAGCCGACCUGAGAGGGUGAUCGGCCACACUGGAACUGAGACACGGUCCAGACUCCUACGGGAGGCAGCAGUAGGGAAUCUUCCGCAAUGGGCGAAAGCCCGACGGAGCAACGCCGCGUGAGUGAAGAAGGUCUUCGGAUCGUAAAACUCUGUUAUUAGGGAAGAACAAAUGUGUAAGUAACUAUGCACGUCUUGACGGUACCUAAUCAGAAAGCCACGGCUAACUACGUG
rnacentral:rRNA from 1 species